UACGUAGGGUGCGAGCGUUUGUCCGGAAUUACUGGGCGUAAAGAGCUCGUAGGUGGUUUGUCGCGUUGUCCGUGAAAACUCACAACUCAAUUGUGGGCGUGCGGGCGAUACGGGCAGACUGGAGUACUGCAGGGGAGACUGGAAUUCCUGGUGUAGCGGUGGAAUGCGCAGAUAUCAGGAGGAACACCGGUGGCGAAGGCGGUUCUCUGGGCAUGUCCUGACGCUGAGGAGCGAAAGUGUGGGGAGCGAACAGG
rnacentral:rRNA from 1 species